rnacentral:lncRNA from 1 species
AGCUUUCCACAUCUUUUUCAAGACUGGAGCAGAACUUUCUUUUAGAAAGUAAAACAAUAGGGCAAAAUGUGGGGUCAUAAGUAGUGAAGCAACAAUAUAAAACUAUAGCCGAGAAACUAAUCAGGAACGCUAAUAAUGGCCUUAUGUUAGGGUUGCUUGAGACACCAACAAUGAUAAUUUUUUGGUUGGGGGCCCGAAAGAAGCUGGCCGAAUAGCAUCAUUUCUUAGCUCAAUUACCAGCUACCAACUAUAGCAUGGAGUGCUGACAUGAAAAGGCGUUUGCAUUGUUACACCUGAUGUCCAACUGUAUUUUGCUCCCCCAAAACAUACAUGUAGGGUUUACCACAAUCACAACUGAAGAAAGGAGCUCACUUAUACCCCAUCUUUUUUGGCGCAGGUUGUAGUGCACUGGGAUUAAGGUAGUCAGACCUAGGCCUUAAAUUACAUUGGACAAGAUGUAACAUGUUCUCUUGUACUACUUAACCUAGACCAGCCAAAGCACCAUAGAAGCCGUAUAUGCAGCCACACAAAUGAUAUGCUUCCUCAUUUUAAAGAUUUCCUCUUGUCUGUCUAGAAGAGACAAUGCAAACAUGUAGGGAGGGUUUGUAACAGAAAAAGGCUGGUGGGGGGCAAUGGAGCAGAUUACAUGCGACCAUCUAAUUGGAAACUUUACUUCAGCGGGUCAACUUCUUGAUUAGGUGUGUACAAUUUUGGUAUUCAAGUAUACAACCUUUGUUUAAAACCCGUUUAAAGGAUCUAGUAUGACUUCAAUUGGCCGUCUAAUAGUCACCAUCUAUACAGACAGCAUAGAACAUUAUAUUUAUCUAAUAGAUUUUAUGCAACCUUUCCAAUAUUUUCUUUGAAUUUCAUAACCCGAUACGCGUAAAAAAAAAACCGUAAUCCAAUCCAGCCGCAGGAAGACGAAAACUUGAAUCAAAGUAGUUAAUCCAUUGCACAACUCCAGUCCAUUUCAAAUUAUUCUAUUUCCUCCACCAAAAUCGUGCAGAUCUAAAGAUAGUACAAGAAGGCAACUUACCUUCCUUUUGGGCAGCACAAGAGGCUGGCCAGCGUCAGCUUGGGUGCCUUGGCUGCUCGUCUCGCGGGCUUCGGUUCAACGGCGGGAUCUUGUACAGCCGGCGGACGUACGAGGCGGGUCAGGCGCCGUGAAGCUGGGCCGGCUCGUGGAAGGAAGGACGAGCCUCCACAGGCGACGAGGAGGGGCCGAUUUUCAAUGGCGGCG